CCGUCAUUUGUCUAUGCAGCAUGCAUGCGGAUCAGCAUGGUGUUCACUCCUGUUCAUCUCGGCAUCCUAGUUCAGCUGCGUCCUGAGCAACGUCAUCACCCAGCACCUUGAACCUCUGAACCCAGUGCACGUGCUCUGGCCCCAGCCUCCUAACUUCCUGUCCUGCUGAACUGGAUCCCUGGAUAAAGCACAGAAUUCUGCUUCUAAGUCCCAGGUCUUGGCACGGCUUCCUAACCAGGAGCCUCACUCCACCUCUGUUCUCCACACCUGAGCAGGCAACAAACCCGGCCAAACCCCAGUUGAGAUGAGCCCUGGUAUUGGAGUCAGGAAACUGGUGGGGCCAGGGGCACAUCAUAGCCUUUGAGGGCCUCCGUUUCCCCAUCUGUACCUGGGCGAAUACAAGUUCCUCCUUCUCAGGGUGUGUGUGGGAAUUAAACUGGACAUCUGCGGAAGCACUUUGUAAACAGCACGCAGGGAGGUAGUUGUCACUUGGGAAGCGUACGCCCCCCUAAUGGAUGCUGAAGAGGCACCAUCCCCUCAGACUGACGUGUUAGUCAGGGUUCUGCAGAGUAGAACCAAUUCAAUGUGUAGCUCAUUCUGAAGGCCAGCAGGCUCGUGGCCCAAGUGGAGCCAAUUAUUUAGUUCUGGUCUAAAGGCAGGAGAAAUCAGAGCCCCAGCUCAAGCUGUCAGGCAGGAGGAGUCUUCUCUUUCUCAGCCUUUUUUUGAUUGGUCCUCAAUGGAUUGGAUUGGAUGAUCCCCACCCACACUGGAGAAGGAAAGCUGCUUUACUCAGUCUACAGAUGCAAACGCUAGUCUCAUACAGAAACACCCUCACAGACACUCCCAGAAUCAUGUGUGAGCCCAGGUCUGGGCACUCGGGCCUAGUCAAGUUGACACAUAAAAGUAACCAGCAUGACAGGGGACAUUGAAUUUCCAAGGAUGACAAACGAAUGGGGCCAAGACAGUAAAGGAAGAGUGAGGUCAAAGAUGCCGCAGACACGUCUAUAGCGGUGUUGCAACUUCAACUGGCCUACCCAGCCAUGGAGCAUCAUCCAGUGAGAAUUUUCAAGAUGAAACUUCAGAAACUUUUGACUUUGAAGCAUUGAUUCAGUCACAGCACCUUCUCCAUACACUGCACAAACCUCUUCUUAUUCUUUUUGUGUGUGUUGCAGUUGCAUUUUUACCUUUCUUUAAAUAAUAAAGCAUAAUAUAUGACAAAAAAUGUUGCUUCUUUCUUCCAUCUUAUUAAAAUGGCUACACAAACAUUUUUAAAAAAGAGUCUGCCCAAGAGCAAUUUGAUAAUGUGACCUUGGAGCUCUCCUUGGGUCUCAAAGUCC
ensembl:lncRNA